CCCGUGCUGUGUGGGGAUCCCGUGCCGUGUGGGGAAUCCGUGCUGGGCUGUGCCUGGGGUGGCCAGCUGCGCUGGUCGAGCUCCGGCGCGCUCUGAUGGGGAUCCGAGGGCGCUUCUCCCACACGAGAGCCAAGUGAAAGCCGGGAGAAGGUCAAAGGGGCGUUAGAGGGCCGUUCUGCCGUGCCCGCCGCUCCUCAGGGCCCAUGGCUGCUCCCUCCGCCCGCACCGUCCCCUGUCCAUCUUUUCCCUGUUCGAACCAAUUAUUGUAGUGUCUCUGGCAAAAUGGAACGCAGGUUGACUUAACAUCCAAACUUAAUACAGUAGUUCCCAAAAAUAACCGAACUACACUUGCCCUGACACCACCAAAAACGGCUAAGCAAAUAUGGAGCAUCCCUUGAACAGUGACACCAGAAAUUUGGAAAAUUGGCCCAUACAUAAUAAAAGAGGGGCUACAAUGUUCACAGAGGUGGUGUGGAGGCUACUGGCAAAGACAAACCCGUAAGCAGCUGAGCUGGGUAUUCCUGAAUGACCAUGGAAGUCCACAACCACACAGUGGCAUGGUAGGGACCCAUUGCAUAGGUUCCUAACUAUGAUGAAGUCCUGGGGCUCCUUCUCUCAGUUCUUCGAAGUUUUCAUUAGGAGUCUGGCAGCCCACUGGCACAUCAAGACACCUAUUGAAUCAGAAAUUUGGACACGUGUGUGCUGGCUCCUAGCAGGUGAGAGCCUAGAAGCAAGUACGUGUCAGGCCAUCAAGAGGGUUUUUCCCUGGGGCAAUAAUACCUGUUCCCCAAGGAAGAGUUCAGAAGCCACUAUGUUAAUUCCUUGCUUCCCAAGUGGGAAGAGAGACAGCUGCCCUCCCAUGCCAUGGCAGCUACUAAAUUUCAGAAGCCAGCAAGCCUGAGCUGCUGUCAGAGGGCAGACAUUUAGGAUGUAGUUCUCUCUCGCAGUCCGAAGAGGUUGUCCAUAUCAACGCUGGUCACACCACAGCCCUAAUGGAGAGAAAGGAAACCAGCCUUUCCUAGCAUGGAAAAGUCCUGCUAGCUCCCUCGCUAGCUCCCUCUUAACAUGCCCUACCAUUUGCUGCAAUUUGUCCUAUGUCCUUGGAGUAUCUUUCUGGCUCCCUACUGCCUACUGUGGGUGACUUUUCCUGCUCCCUUUCCCGUCUUUGACGAUUGUCCUGUCUUCAGUGACUAAUUCAAACCCAGACUAUUCAUAGCAAUUGGAGAUGAUCCUUCCAAAAAUACAGGCUGUGAAAAUUUGCUGAAGUUCAGGCAGAGAUUUACAAUGACAAAUGAUCCAUAGGUUAGGGUCUUCCCCAUGGUAGCCAGCAUACUGCCAGUAUCACAGCUCAUGACUGGGUAAACCUGCACCACCAGAAUUUCAGGAAAAGUUUGUUCACAUUCCAGGUGGGAUUCUGAGCAGGCACAAGGGCUUGCAGGACUAGGAUCUUAACGUUUGUCUAGUCAGAAACCUGCAUAAAUGGAUGAAAACACCCAGAGGCAUAAUUGGACUUGCUUCUAAUCUCUACCAGUAAUUUGCAGGAAGUAAAUUUAAAAUGUCAGUGCCUAACCUUUGAUAGCUUUUGUUUUGAUACACAUGCCAGAGAGAAACCCAUGCUUGUUGCUGCGUCAAAAUGUCAUAAGGUUCUGGGAACUAUGGCUUUUUGAAAGAUACCAAAUUUUGUGGGGUUUACAAUAAAAUUGCAAGAGUUGUUAACAUUGCAAUUUUUUUUUUAAAUAGAAGUAAUUGAAGUCCAUGGAGCUAAGAGUGUUAGAAUCAUGGAAUCAUAUGGGUGUCUUAGUUUUCAGCCCAACACAUAGUCCGCAACACAAGAGGUGGCACAUGAGAAAAGGAUUCUUUUAGAAAAUGUGAAUAUUGUCCAUUCCUACCAAACCUCUCGUCCUAUUGCUCAAUAACAGUGUCUUUAUGCUAAGGGUGAGGAGAAACUCAUGAAGGAAACCAGGCUUGCUGCUGCAGCAAAAAUAAAAUCCCUCUUCUAGGAAGAAUUACACAUAUGCUUAGUUUUAUCCAGGCUAUCAAUUUUAGUGAGUGGAACUACUCACAGUGGAUAUGGAGUUUGAAAUGUGCACCAGCCUGUACAGGACUGGGACCUGGCACUGCAGAGGAAAAAAAAAUGUAGUCAAUAGUUCUUAAAUUUCUGCUGUUCAACACUAAAUCAUCAGAGUCAUCACAUUUGGGAGAAACAUGCAUACAUUUGAGAAAGAACUCAGGGGUGUCUUUGAAAACAAGGGACAGCUGAGAUGUUUGCUUGGGAGACACUAUUUAAACGCAAGUAGAAUUGUUCCUCUUUUGUUGGAAGCUGAGCACAGCAUAAUGUGAUUUGUGAUUACAAUUCUUUGUGUCUGUGAAGUGACUGAAGAGACAGGCUAACUCUGAAACUUCACUGGACUUCUAAAUUCACUGAAAAGGAACUGGGACAGGGAACGGAUGUUUCUGAUUUUCAGACUAAAGCAUACCAUAAAGCAUACCACCUUUCUAGUUAUUUUUGAAGCAGCAUAAAAUGUCACAGUUUUUUCCACUCUUUGUCCUAAAGAGAAAAAUCUUGCCAGUGUUUUUUAAAGAAACUUUUUCUAUAGUUUCAUUAAUAAAAACACUUGCUCUUUAUUUCCUUGAGCUCAAUAAUUCAAAAGGGAAACAGGCAGGAAACACCAGUUUCCUCUAGGUAUUGCAGUACAAGUCUUACCACACACCUGUUUCAUUGUUAGGGGUAUCUGAUUUUCCAGUUGUAAUACCAAAUUUAUGAAAAGUUAGUGUAAAACCCUUGCACUGACUCUACAACCACUGGAGCUUUAGCUGGAGUGAAACCAGAGCAGAUGAAGCUGUCCUGUGUGGCUCCUGUUCUUACAGCCCUAUCCUCCAAGAAAUACCAAACCACUUGAAAUGGAGAAACUGCUUUUCAUCCAGUGGUAAGACUGGAAGCAAUUGGUAAACCUGCUGCUCCAUGACAAGCCUCCUGAUGUUGCUCUUGCUCAUGGCAUGAGCAGCAGUCAAGCUGGUAAUCUGGUGGCCAGUCAUUGUGUCAAAGCUCAUUAAGGGUGCUUGUGUGGCUUGUGCUGGGGCAAGUGCUUCACUCUGUGCUUACUCACCCCAGCGCUUGCUGCUGUUUCUUUUGUUGUGCCAUUAUUGCCUCCUCACUAUUGUCACAGAUUACCUUUAUUUCUGAACAAGGCUUGUGGUUUUACAGUGUGUUCCUGUAGGGCCCAUCUCCACAGAGCAGCGCCUUGACUGAGAUCAGUUAAUGAUAACCAAAAGCAGCAGGACUUUUAGCUUCACUCUGGAGUCAUGAAUUCUUCCUUGACAGAAAGGAUAAUGUACCAUGAAUAAAUUAUGUCAUUUAUCUUUGA